GACGAACGCUGGCGGCGUGCUUAACACAUGCAAGUCGUGCGGUAAGGCCCUUUCGGGGGUACACGAGCGGCGAACGGGUGAGUAACACGUGAGCAACCUGCCCUUCACUUUGGGAUAACUGCCGGAAACGGUGGCUAAUACCGGAUAUGACUUCCUCACGCAUGUGGGGUGGUGGAAAGCCUUCGGGUGGUGGGGGAUGGGCUCGCGGUCUAUCAGCUUGUUGGUGGGGUGAUGGCCUACCAAGGCUUCGACGGGUAGCCGGCCUGAGAGGGUGACCGGCAAACGGGGGACGGAGACACGGCCGGAACCCCGAGGGGGGCAGGAGGGGGGGAAUAUUGAAAAAGGGGCGAAGGCCUGACCAAGCACGGCGGGGGGGGGGAGAGGGGCCUUGGGUUGGAAACCCUUUUGCGCCGGGGCGGAAGGGGGGGGGGGGGGGGAGGAUAAAAAGACCCCGGCAACCUAGGGG
rnacentral:rRNA from 1 species